GGGUUGCUAACUCAACGGUAGAGUACUCGGCUUAUUAGAUCCGGGUUCGAGUCCCGGGCAACCCA
rnacentral:tRNA from 1 species